UUUUUUUAAAACGCAGCAACAAAAUUUCAUGGAUAAGCUACCUGAUGCAGAAUGCACUUAUACCAAAUAUGUCAAAAGAUAUGACAAAGCUACUUAUCCAUGAGUUCUAAAGAGACCGAGGCCCAAAAUGAUGCCCAGAAGUCUACCUGAUGCAGAAUGGACCAGGAUUAUCGUAAUAUAGGGUUUUCUGGUUCUCAAGUAUUUUUACUUAUGCGUUAACUUUGCUUAUGCUCCGGGUAUUAUUAUCUCAGGGUUUUCAAAGCUAGGAUUGUUUUAGUAAUUUAGUUACACAGGGCUUGUUAUCCAGUUUUUGUUCUAUAAAUCAAGACCUAAGAAAGAUAAAAAACUGAUGCAGUUAACAAAUAAGGGAGAUCUUUUAUCAUCUUCGUCUGAGAUCUGAGCACCGUGCUCCGGCUUUUGUUGUCUACAUCCAUUCAUAGAAAACUUUCUAGUUUUUUAGCUAGUUCCAGUCAGGAUUCUAUUCUUUUUCCUGAAGUUCCAAUUGCUCUCAGGUUGUCCAGCCAUCUUCUGCUUGGUGUGCCCCCAAGUGUAAAUUCUCAUGUUUUAGCUCUAGUUAUCAUGGUAAAAUUGAACGCUGAAAUUUGUUAUUGAUCCGUCUGGAAUCCAAUAAUCUGUAAAUAUGAUUGCUGGUGGCGAUUCCUUAUUUUAACUUAUAAGCAAAAUUAGUUUUUUCCCAAUGUCAUUAAGCUGCAGAAGAAAGCUAUGAGUGGUAUGCCUGUUAUCAUAUUAAAGUUGGGUGUUUCUGUCCUCAAUGAUUUGAUUUGUUCAUUUGGAAUUUUUUUUCUUCAUGUUGAAGAGGUUGGUCCCUGUUGUGCAGUUAUGUGGAUGGUUUUGUGGUUUCUUUAUUUCUUUGAUCCAUGGAAUGACUUGGGACACUACGAAUUUUCUGAUGUACCGUAUUCAUUCUCUACUAUUUCAGUGGUGAUCCUCAAACAUUGGGCCAAUCAGUAACACCUCUGGAAGUGCAUGAUAUGUAUGAGGGGAUACCUGGAACUUCAGAAACCAUACAACUCCUCGUCUUUCUUUUUAAAGUCUUGUCCUAAUUAUUCUUCAUUUACCAUGUAUAAGCAAGGAGGUUCUAUUCUGUUUUUUUUUUUUUUUCGUUGUUGUUGAGGGGUGGAGGGAAGUGCGAUUCAUGUACAAUUCUGUAUAAUACAAUUCUUGCCUCCAGAUGAAUUUUUUUUUUUUAUACCCCUUUUGAACAGAAUGAUGUCCUAGCUGCAAAUACUGAUUUUGUUACAUAUGCUCAAGCUCCAUCAACUCCUGGACUAUUUGAAGAGUCAAACCUGUUUGCGGUUCAGGAGCCUAUGGCCUGCAGCGAUCACUUGGAUUUUGAAGACCGUAAUUUAUCAAAUUUAGCAUCCAUGGGCGGCUCAGAAAAUGCUGGUCGUAUGUCAGGUCCGCGUUGUGGGGAUGAUAGUACAAUGGUUUCUCCCAACGAGAAUGGCUACCAUUUGGGCGAUAUGGAGAUCAAACAAACAAAGCCACAGGAGCAUGAGCUGAUUGAAUCCAUUUCUCCAGUAUUAGAAUGUUUAAAUGGGACAGUUGGUGCAUUGGAUAGCCAUAUAUACUGGCAUGUCAGCAGAACUGAUUUAUCUGCACACUGGAACAUUUGAUACAAGUACAACAAGGGUUUCCGAAAAUGAGCAAAACAAUGUUUCUGCGGUACCAUUGAAGGAUGUAGAAUCCUCUCUGGAGCCAAAUUUUACUAAAGAAAUUGAACCCCUUCGAAGCACUGAACCUGUAAUAAUG